UACGUAGGGGGCAAGCGUUUGUCCGGAAUCAUUGGGCGUAAAGAGCGCGUAGGCGGCCCGAUAAGUCCGCUGUGAAAGUCAAGGGCUCAACCCUUGAAUGCCGGUGGAUACUGUCGGGCUAGAGUCCGGAAGAGGCGAGUGGAAUUCCUGGUGUAGCGGUGAAAUGCGUAGAUAUCGAGAGGAACACCUGCGGCGAAGGCGGGUUGCUGGGCUGAUACUGACGCUGAGGAGCGAAAGCGUGGGGAGCGAACAGG
rnacentral:rRNA from 1 species